CAGUCGUACCGGCGGAUAAUCAGCCUUUCGGGUGCGAUUCUGUGGAGUGUGAGGAGGUAAACACCUUCAUGCCUGCAUAUUCGUGCACUUUGGGUGUACUUGUCCGUAUGGUAAGUUAACAUCAAUUUUGGUCGUUAUAAAAUGGCUGGAGGAAUGUAGCUUUGAUCUCGUAUUGAAGUGUUAUAGCCUUUGGUAGAUGUAAUGAUUAAGAUUGAGGAUUGCAACGGAUACCUUUCGGGGCUACCCGCCUGAUCUCUGAAAGUUGCUCUGGUGUCGAAAGCUUGCUUACGGUCAUCAAAGUUGACGUUCAAUAGGUUAAAACGGGUCAAA
rnacentral:rRNA from 1 species